UACGGAGGAUGCAAGCGUUAUCCGGACUGAUUGGGCGUAAAGCGUCCGCGGGUGGCUGUGUAAGUCUGCUGUUAAAUAGUGAGGCUCAACCUCAUAAAGGCAGUGGAAACUACACGGCUAGAGUGCGUUCGGGGCAGAGGGAAUUCCUGGUGUAGCGGUGAAAUGCGUAGAGAUCAGGAAGAACACCGGUGGCGAAAGCGCUCUGCUAGGCCGCAACUGACACUCAUGGACGAAAGCUAGGGGAGCGAAUGGG
rnacentral:rRNA from 1 species